AUUUUUUUUGUUUUUAGUGUUUGUGUGUGAGGAAUAUUAUUUGGUUGGUUUUUGCUCUCUGAGAUUGUUUUAACCUUUUUCUGUAGCUAGGUUAGUUAAAGACCCAAGAACCCAAAGGCCCAAAGGUUUUGGCUUUGUCACAUACGAAUCAGAGGAAGAGGCUCAGAAGGCUUUGAAGGCCAUGAAUGGCAGGAUAGUUGAUGGAAGACUGAUAUUUGUGGAAGUUGCAAAGACU